rnacentral:rRNA from 1 species
UACAGAGGUCUCAAGCGUUGUUCGGAUUCAUUGGGCGUAAAGGGUGCGUAGGCGGCGCGGUAAGUCGGGUGUGAAAUCUCGGGGCUUAACUCCGAAACUGCAUUCGAUACUGCAGUGCUUGAGGACUGGAGAGGAGACUGGAAUUUACGGUGUAGCGGUGAAAUGCGUAGAUAUCGUAAGGAAGACCAGUGGCGAAGGCGGGUCUCUGGACAGUUCCUGACGCUGAGGCACGAAGGUCAGGGGAGCAAACGGG